rnacentral:rRNA from 1 species
CCUACGGGAGGCAGCAGUGAGGAAUAUUGGUCAAUGGCCGUAAGGCUGAACCAGCCAAGUAGCGUGAGGGAAGACUGCCCUAUGGGUUGUAAACCUCUUUUAUGCGGGGAUAAAAUGUUCCACGUGUGGGCUUUUGUAUGUACCAUAUGAAUAAGGAUCGGCUAACUCCGUGCCAGCAGCCGCGGUAAUACGGAGGAUCCGAGCGUUAUCCGGAUUUAUUGGGUUUAAAGGGAGCGUAGGGGGAUUGUUAAGUUAGUUGUGAAAGUUUGCGGCUCAACCGUAAAAUUGCAGUUGAAACUGGCAGUCUUGAGUACAGUAGAGGUGGGCGGAAUUCGUGGUGUAGCGGUGAAAUGCUUAGAUAUCACGAAGAACUCCGAUUGCGAAGGCAGUUCACUGGACUGCAACUGACACUGAGGCUCGAAAGUGUGGGUAUCAAACAGGAUUAGAUACCCUUGUAGUC